UCCUUAGCUUCACCGCCAUCUUUGCUUCUUCCUUCACCACUUCACCAUCUUCUUCGUACGGUCGUCUCAUUCAGCCCUUCAUUCGCCGUCAUCUUCUUAGUUCACGAUGUACCAGCAGCAGCUCCAGCAAGGCAGCAGCAGCAACUCCGGCGUAGCUUCGCGACUCCGACAACGACGACGUAGAUCUACGUUCUCCGGCGACGAGCAAGCUUCCAGCUUGGAGUGGCGACGAGUUUCCGGCGACCACGAUAGUAGUUCCGGCGGUGGAGGUUACGUUCGACGUGCGGCGGCUCUGCUUCGAUCUACAGACUACUACAUGAGCGUAAAGUGGCAAAAGGAGGUGUUUCCUGCCGUGGAAAUUGAUACUAGCCAGCCUCCAUGUCUUCAAAUGCCAGCUAUUUGAUCUGACUGGGGUGCCACCUGAAAGGCAGAAGAUUAUGGUUAAAGGUGGUUUAUUGAAGGAUGAUGCAGAUUGGUCAAAACUGGCAGUGAAAGAGGGACAAAGGUUAAUGAUGAUGGGCACUGCUGAUGAAAUUGUCAAGGCUCCAGAAAAAAGCCCUGUGUUUGUUGAAGAUAUGCCAGAAGAGGAGCAAGUUAUUAAUGUGGUGAGUAUUUUGAAAUUUAUGUCACAUAUAAUUUGAUAGUUGGUGUAAAUACUGGAACUUUCAUGGAUGAUUUGAUCUGCUUAGGUCACUUAUCUCUCAUU